rnacentral:tRNA from 1 species
GUCUCAGUAGCAUAGUGGAUACUGCACAGCCCCGGUUACGCGCAAGACGCGGGUUCGAAUCCCGCCUGGUAUA